CAAAAUUCUCCAAGAGAGGCUUCAAUAGUAUAUGAACUGAAAACUUCCAGACGUAGAAGUUAGAUUUAGAAAAGGCAGAGGAACCAGAGAUCAAAUUGCCAACAUCCACUGGAUCAUGAGAAAAGCAAGAGAAUUCCAGAAAAACAUCUACUUAUGCUUCACUGACUACGCUAAAGCCU